GUCGUUUCCCAGUUAUGUCCACAGCAUGUCUAAUAUGGUUCCAGUACCAUGUCCAUUCUCUCUGUUGGUCUCCGCAUCACAUUUUGCACUCUGGUUUGUCUGCCAUGUGCUCUAAUGAAGCCCUCAAUAAGGCAGCAUCAGGGUGUAAUUCAGAUACUGAGAGUGACUCUACCUGUUCUGUCUUGCUUUCCUCCUGCUUUGAUUUCUCUUAUUAGUAACAUUCUUUCUCAUAAUUUAUUUUGAUUCUUGCCUCAUUGUCUAAAAUUCUUUGAAAAUGCCUGGUCAGCAAACAUCAUAGCAUGACCAGCAUGCCUCCAGUGCCCCUUCCUUUACCUCUUCUCAUCUUCCUCUCACCAGCAACCCACUCUUUCAUGGUUUUUUUUGACCCUCCUGUUAAGAAAGUUCAGAAACCUGAAAAGCUAAUUCACCAUUAAAUUAUUAUUAUUAGAAUUAAUUAAAUUAUUAGUAUUAGAAUUCCAUGCACUGAAGUUCCAGCUUCCGGAAUGAUGGGGUGAACUGUAGCGACACACCUUUGUGUUGAUGUCUGACCAGUAUCGACUCAGUGGACACUGGCAACAUGGAGCACUGGAAAGCACUGGAGAGCAACCAAACCCAGAGCAGAACCCGGGCAGUGGCCCUCUUCAGAGUCCCCGUUGACAGAACCUGUCCUGACACCUGGCCUCUGGGGACGUUGCCCUGCCCACGAAGGGGGAGUGGAGAGUGGAGAGUAGGGCUGUGCAAUGCCUGAAGACCGCAGGGGGAACUCUGUGAAGGGGAGAGCACAUGUCUUUCAAGCCUCCACUGAUGCUGAACUGGGCCUGUGCUGAGCAGGACUCCAGGAUGCCAGAGAGGGAGGCCAUUUGCCUGAGGAGCAGAGCAGAGAUGUGGGGGUUGCCCACUGUGGCUUUCGAAAAGUGAGUCUCAGCAAGUGAAAGGGCUUAGAUGAACACCUUGGGCUUUCCUCGAAACCCCUGAACAAACCAUGCUCUGGGAUCUUCGGUAUUCACCUAAAACUAAAGCAGAGCUGGAGAAAACCACCCUACUGAAAUCUAGCGAGGUCACCACAGGUCAGUGAUCCAUGGGAAGUUCAGGAGAGAGGGAACCUGGGAGAAAGGCAUAGGAACGAGAGGAGAAGCGAGAACCAGAGCACUACAACUGAAGAUCGAAUGUCUGACGUCACUCGCUGGGUUAGAUUAACAGGAGAUGCGCAGGUUGGACGCACAGAAGGGAAGGGUGAACAUUUGGAGACAGAUCAAAAGACAUAAACUGAAAAUUAGAGAGAAAGGCUAGAAACAAAGUGAAUGUGACCUGAGUGACCCAUGGCCUUAUUGAACAUUCUGCACGUGCGUAACUGAGCUCCAGAGGAAGAGGGGAUGGGGAAUAAAAAUAUUUGCAAAAACACAGAAAUGAUUAAUAACACUAACCCUGGAUCGGCAAAGCUCUAAUGAGAGGCACAGAGGCAGUGUUCAGAGACCUUAGAGGCAGACUACUGAAAACCAAUACAGAGCUUUCAAAAGAAGCCAUUGGAAGAAGGUACUUUACACCCAGAUACUAGUGACAGCAGACUGGAAUUCUUAAAAAGACAGUGGAAUGACAUUUUUAAAGUAGUUUUAAAAAAUUGCCAACCCAGAAUUCUGUAUCGACAAAAAUAUUUUUCAAACAUGAGAGUGAAAAAGGGUAUUUUCUAGUAAAUUAAAGCUCUAAGAAUUGGUCAUCAGCAGAGCUGGCCUAAGAAAAAUGCUAAGGGAAAUUCCUUAGAUUGAAGAGAAGUAGUAUCAAUUUAAAAACUAGCUAUAAGAGAAACAGAAGGAAAAGUCAAUUGAUCUUUUGAAGCAAAAAUAGUAAAGGUACAUUGUGAGGUUUGUAAGAUACGCGGAAGUAAAAUAUAUGAAUGUCACAUGAAGGACAGGCUAGGUGUAAAUGAAAUCCACAAUAUGUUACAGUUUGUAUGUGCAGAGUAGAUUGCGAUAAGUAUGAAACAUUUUGGAAUCUUUGGAGCAUCCAGUUAAAAAGCAGCCAACAGAAGGGAUAGAACAGAAUAUUAAAACAACCCAAAAGAAAAUAGGAAGGAAAAGACAGAAGGGACCAACAUAAAACAAAUUACAGUGUAGUUGAUAUAAAUCUGUUUUAAUAAUUACAUUAAAUGCAGGUGGACUGAAUAUUCAAGUUCAGAGAUUGUUAAACUGUUCUUUAAAAAAAACAAAGUGAAAUCAGGUUAUGGGAUAUCUGUAGGAGAUGCUUUAAAAAUAACACCUGGUUGUGAAAAGUAUAUAAAGUGAAAAAAGGUGUACAACGAAAACACUAAGCAUAGGAGAGUCAGAGUGGGUUCUGAUGAAGUACACCUCAAGGCAGAACCACCAGGAUUUUAAAAAGCAUCUUUUCAGCCAGGCACAGUAGUGAACCCCUGUAAUCCCAGUGACUCAGGAGGCUAAAGCAGGAGUGUUGCAAUUUUGAUGCCAUCAUCAGCAACUUAGUGAGGCCCUGUCUCAAAAUAAAAAAAAUACUGGGGAUGUAAUUUAGCACCCCUGGGUUCAGUCCCCAGUACCUAAACAAAUAAAAGUUUAAAAGCAUAAUUUCUAAAUGGUAAAAUGUUGAAUUUACCAAGAAGCCAUAAUAAUCAAAUUUUAUUUCACAUAUUUUAAAGUUACAUAGACAAAUUUGGUCAUAAUUAUCUAUUUGAACAUUCCUUUUUCAGUCACUAAUAAUGCAAGUGGACUAUGAGUUGAACAAAGCCUUAAUUGACCUGUUCAAGUCCACAUUGAAAAAGAUAGACUAUAUAUAUGGGUUUGAAAAGUCUUUUCAAUAUUCCCAGAAGGGCUGGUGGUUUAACUCAGCAGUAGAGCACUUGCCUAUCAUGUAUAACGGCCUGGGUGCAGUCCCCAGCACAGCAAAAGCCGAAAAUUCAAAGAUUGCAUUCCUGCGGAGAGGGAACUGUAACCAUGAUGGAAUUAAAC
rnacentral:lncRNA from 1 species